ensembl:lncRNA
CCCACCCUAACCCCUAACCCUAACCCUAACCCUAACCCCACCCCUAACCCUAACCCUAACCCUAACCCUAACCCUAACCCUAACCCAACCCUAACCCCAAGUCUAACCCAACGUCUCAGAGUCUAGCUUACCUUCACACCUACCUGUUGCACUUAGCUUCAAGUGGGAUCUGUGUCCUGGUAAUGUUGAAUUAAAGCACACCACUGAAUUAGAUUGCACAAGUAUUUGUUUAUUACAGCACUGUUUCCUCAAGACAUGACUCGUACAAUUGUAUGCACACUACAGCAAUGCCUACAUGUUGACAAACAAAACAUGAAUACACGUACUCCAUACAAUUGCAAGACACCGUUUACAGGCGCAGCACCCACCUACUCCAUACAAUUCCAAGACACCGUUUACAGGCGCAGCACCCGCGUACUCCAUACAUUUUAAGGCAUGGUUUACAUAUAACGCAUAUGUCAGACUCACAAGACAAAGGUCACAAAGCCUCCAUAUCCAAUAAAUAACAUUACAUUUACACUAAUAUUGUGUACUGCAACCCACCUCAAGAGCAGAGCAGAUCUCAGCCCACCUGAAGUAAAUGCAAGCCUCAGACAGGCCGGGAAGGAGAGCAAAUGGGCUCCGUUGGUUAUGGGGUUGGGUUAGCCCUGCGGUACAAACAAACAUAGCAAAGCUAACCCAACCCCGUAAGCAAGGCAAAGCUAAAGCCAAUUUGGCUGAGAUCAAUUGAUUGCAAAGCUAAAGCCAAUUUGGCUGAGAUCAAUUGAUUGCAAAGCUAAAGCCAAUUUGGCUGAGAUCAAUUGAUUGCAAAGCUAAAGCCAAUUUGGGCAAGAUCAAUUGACUGCACAUGCCAAAAUCGGCGCAACUCUCAGAAUGGCCGCAAAGGGGCGCGAGUCUCAGACUGGCCGGGAAGGAGCGCAAAUGGG